rnacentral:rRNA from 1 species
CCUACGGGAGGCAGCAGUGAGGAAUAUUGGUCAAUGGCCGGAAGGCUGAACCAGCCAAGCCGCGUGAGGGAGGAAGGCGCAGAGCGUCGCAGACCUCUUUUGCCGGGGGACAAAAGGCCGGACUCGUCCGGUCCUGAGGGUACCCGGAGAAAAAGCAUCGGCUAACUCCGUGCCAGCAGCCGCGGUAAUACAUAGGGGGCAAGCGUUAUCCGGAAUUAUUGGGUGUAAAGGGUGCGUAGACGGAAGAACAAGUUGGUUGUGAAAUCCCUCGGCUCAACUGAGGAACUGCAACCAAAACUAUUCUCCUUGAGUGUCGGAGAGGAAAGUGGAAUUCCUAGUGUAGCGGUGAAAUGCGUAGAUAUUAGGAGGAACACCAGUGGCGAAGGCGACUUUCUGGACGAUAACUGACGUUGAGGCACGAAAGUGUGGGGAGCAAACAGGAUUAGAUACCCGGGUAGUC